AUAAAAGUCUAACUCGAUGAAUGUCUGAACAUACAUUCCGUUAACCUGUCCCUACGUUGAAAUGUUCGCCAAAAAACCAUCAUAAAAGUCAAAUUCAAAAAUCAAUUAUUACCACAAAAAACAAAUAUACUAAUCGCCAUACAAAGUUUGGUCAGUCAAAAACGUUGAAAGUUUAUAUUAUAUAUAACCAAAAACAAAAAUCUCAAAACAAAAGCUAAUAUACAGUAAUUAUUUGCGUCAAAACGCUUGUUGAUCAGAAAUAAGAAGGAUGAGAAGAAAGAUGUCUUAUUUAACUAUACUUGUUUUGUUUCUUGUAGUUAUGAGUCUCGCAGGAAAUCCAAAACAUCAAAUAGAUGCGCAACCCACCGGACAGAUGAGUAAGAAGCCGCCAAGACAAAUAAAGCCGGCUCCUCCUAUUCAUAUCCCACCGUCACCACAUAUACCUCCUCCUCGACGGCCAUCUCGACCGCCUCCUUAAGAUGUAAGUAUAAUGAUAAAGAAAGCAUGUACAACAGCAAAGAAGCUUGUUCUUACACUCAAAUAUUAAAUAUGAUUUUCUCAGUUGCCAACUGUUUAAUUAGUGUUCUGUUUUUAUGUUUGGAUGCUUAAUUGUUUAAAUUUCUAUAACAUAAUGAUACAAUUUAUUAUUAAUUAUUAUUUGGUUGAAAUUUUCUAUAAUAAAAAAGUAACAAUAACAUCAUUCAUAUCUUUUGAAAAGAUAGCAAUACAUAUUUUCAAUGAAGUUAAAAAAUAAGAAGAAAAAAAUCAUAGAGUAAAAUAUAACAAAAAUAAUGGGUGUCGUCUAGGGAAGCUUAAUUAAAUCUCUAACCGGUGAAACAACCAUUAAAUCAAAUGAAUGUUCUAGAUUUUAUAUAAUAAAGAGUGAAAACAUAUAGGAUCAUUCACAUGGAAAUUUUUUCAUGAUAGUUUUUGGAAUUUU
rnacentral:lncRNA from 1 species